GCCCGUUUGGCUUAGUGGUACAGCGUCUCACUCGUAUCUAUACGCCUAUGAGAAGAUCCUCGGUUCGAUUCCGAGAAUGGGCA